rnacentral:tRNA from 1 species
UCUAAUAUGGCAGAUUAGUGCAAUGGAUUUAAGCUUCAUAUAUAAAGUUUAUUACUUUUGUUAGAA